UUGGAGCAACUAGUAUUCCAUCCGGCAACAAAUUACUGUAUUUGUAUUUGAACAUGGUUACAAAACCACAGAACCAAGAACUAAGAAUAAGAACGUCAUUGCAACCUUCAGAAGUUCGUCUCGGAAGAUUUGGAUGACCAUUGUUGAAGGUCUUACCAAUCAAAAAUCGAUUCUGUCACCGCCGGCAAAGAAAGAAAAAUAAAAAUAUUGGAGCAACUAGUAUUCCAUCCGGCAACAAAUUACUGAAUUAAAAUGUGAGGUGUGAUAUUGUAUUUGAACAUGGUUACAAAACCACACAACCAAGAACUAAGAAUAAGAACGUCAUUGCAACCUUCAGAAGUUGGUCAAACUCAGAAGAUUUUGAUGACAUUUUUGAGCCAAUUGUUGAAGGUCUUACCAAUUCAAGAUCGAUGCUGUCUCCGCCAGCAAAGAAAGAAAGAUAAAAAUAUUGGAGCAACUAAUAUUCCAUUCAACAACAAAUUGUUGUAUUAACAUUUGAGGUGCGAUUUUGCACUCGAGCAAUGUCCAAGUGCGGACAUGGCUCCAAAAUCGAAGAUCAAAGAAUAGGAAGGUCAUUAGAACCUUACUGAAUUAAAAUGUGAGGUGUGAUAUUGUAUUUGAACAUGGUUACAAAACCACACAACCAAGAACUAAGAAUAAGAACGUCAUUGCAACCUUCAGAAGUUGGUCAAACUCAGAAGAUUUUGAUGACAUUUUUGAGCCAAUUGUUGAAGGUCUUACCAAUUCAAGAUCGAUGCUGUCUCCGCCAGCAAAGAAAGAAAGAUAAAAAUAUUGGAGCAACUAAUAUUCCAUUCAACAACAAAUUGUUGUAUUAACAUUUGAGGUGCGAUUUUGCACUCGAGCAAUGUCCAAGUGCGGACAUGGCUCCAAAAUCGAAGAUCAAAGAAUAGGAAGGUCAUUAGAACCUUACUGAAUUAAAAUGUGAGGUGUGAUAUUGUAUUUGAACAUGGUUACAAAACCACACAACCAAGAACUAAGAAUAAGAACGUCAUUGCAACCUUCAGAAGUUGGUCAAACUCAGAAGAUUUUGAUGACAUUUUUGAGCCAAUUGUUGAAGGUCUUACUAAUUCAAGAUCGAUGCUGUCUCCGCCAGCAAGGAAAUGUCCAAGUGCGGACAUGGCUCCAAAAUCCAAGAACAAAGAAUAGGAUGGUCAUUAGAACCUUCAGAAGCUGGUCGAACUCAAAAGAUUUGGAAGACAAUUGUUGAAGGUCUUACCAAUUCAAGAUCGAUGCUGUCUCCGCCAGCAAAGAAAGAAAGAUAAAAAUAUUGGAGCAACUAAUAUUCCAUUCAACAACAAAUUGUUGUAUUAACAUUUGAGGUGCGAUUUUGCACUCGAGCAAUGUUCAAGUGCGGACAUGGCUCAAAAAUCGAAGAACAAAGAAUAGGAAGGUCAUUAGAACCUUCAGAAGCUGGUCGAACUCAAAAGAUUUGGAAGACCAUUGUUGAAGAUCUUAGCAAUUCAAGAUCGAUUUUGUCAUCGCCGGCAAAGAAAAGUAAAAAUAAAAAUAUUGGAGCAACUAGUAUUCCAUCCGGCAACAAAUUACUGUAUUUGUAUUUGAACAUGGUUACAAAACCACAGAACCAAGAACUAAGAAUAAGAACGUCAUUGCAACCUUCAGAAGUUCGUCUCGGAAGAUUUGGAUGACCAUUGUUGAAGGUCUUACCAAUCAAAAAUCGAUUCUGUCACCGCCGGCAAAGAAAGAAAAAUAAAAAUAUUGGAGCAACUAGUAUUCCAUCCGGCAACAAAUUGUUGAAUUAACAUUUGAGGUGUGACAUUGCACUCGGGGUCAUUAUUUGACUGGAAAAAUAAUGUCACAAACGGUAUGAAAUUAAAGAAUUAAAGAAUUUUGACAUUCUAUAUAAAUGGUUUUAUAGAAAUUAUAUAAUAUAUGUGUUUAUGAUCAAAACUAUAAAUUAACAAGCAAGAAACGGCUAGAGCUGCACCUAACCACCUACCUCAAAUUAAAUAGUUUGCGAAUAUUCUUUUAACAGUCAUAUUAUGAUAUUCUGUAAUAAUGUAGAGUUCCUCCAAAGAGCUGGAAUAUUUGAGAACCUUUCUCAUCUGCUGUCUUCAAUUAAAUGACAAUUUCAUUUUGCUAAGUUGUCUUUAUAUACUAUUUUACGCAAAAAAUUAUAUUCAAUUUUGUUAAAAAUUUGCAAAAAACACAGCAUAUUUAAUGUUUAAUAAAGAAUUUUACUUGCUAGCACGACAAAUAAUAACAUUGAAAUACUUUGAAAACCUAUAUUUAACAAUGUGCCAAAAGGUAGGCAACAAAAUGUAUAGAAUCCUAAAUUUAUACUAUAGAUCUUCUUAAGCGCUACUAAUUAAGUUGCCAUUUAUCUCUAGCUGUGCCGAAAGAUACCUCUGGGUGGGUGGUCUAAAAAUUUCAAAAUUAAAAAAAAAUAAAUUUUGUCUUGUUAAAUAUUUCAAUAUGUUAAAUUAUCCAAAAAUAUAAAAUAGGAAAAUUCAAAGAAAUAUUCCCUUUACAAGUUCUGCCCAUCAGACCACAUUAGUUAGAAUAUAAAACUUUAAACGCGUAUAUUUCAAAAUCAAUUUUUUAAGUCGAUGUACACAUUUUGUCGAAAAGUUAAGAACCGAUUUUGCUCAAAUUUAGCACACAUCUUUGGAUAACAUUAUCUAGUUAAUGAACGAAUGUUUUUUAUUUAUAUAUUUUUUAUUUAUAUAUUUUUUACAACAUUUUUUCGAGCCAAUAUAUCGCGAAAAUUUUAUCAAAAAAGUGUUUUUUUUUAAAUUCUGUAAAAAAAAAAUUUAAUUUUUUUUCUUUUUUCUCUAAUUAAGGUCUUUCCUUCGUCCUAUCUAUCGAAAUAUUUUUGGUUUAUUGAUUUUAGAUCAACCUAUAAUGAAUUAUAAUGACACGGUAAGAGCAUUUUUUUGACACGUUUUGGAGAUGAGGUACCAACGACUGAGUUUACGGAAUUUUUAAAUUAAAAUUUCACAAAAAUGUGGUUAAUUGAAAUAUAUGAUGGUAUAUAUUUAAAUAAAAAAUU